GGCCGGGCGCUCAGGAGCGCGCGGGGCGGCGGCGGCGCGGCGGAGCCAUCCGCGCUCGUGCCCGCGCGGGUGCGUUGCCGUCCUGGCCGCGCCCCUGUCCCGCCGCCUCCCGCUCCUCGCCUGGCGGAUGUAGGCUGUUGGCCUGAGGGGAGCUACGUAGCCGAGGUUUGCGCUGCCGCCGCCAGGCCUGGUCCGGUUCCAGCCUCUGCUCGGACGCUAGCCGGCCUGGCCAUGGCUGACCGCGGGUGCCCGCUGGAGGCGGCGCCGCUGCCUGCCGAGGUGCGGGAGAGCCUGGCUGAGCUGGAGCUGGAGCUGUCGGAAGGUGACAUCACUCAAAAAGGAUAUGAAAAGAAAAGGGCAAAGCUGCUUGCACGUUAUAUACCGCUUAUUCAAGGAAUAGACCCAUCUCUGCAAGCAGAGAAUAGAAUUCCUGGGCCCUCACAAACCACGGCCGCUGCACCCAAGCAGCAGAAGUCUCGGCCCACCGCCUCGAGGGAUGAGCGCUUCCGGUCAGAUGUCCACACUGAAGCCGUGCAAGCAGCUUUGGCCAAAUACAAAGAGAGGAAGAUGCCUAUGCCUUCGAAGAGACGUUCUGUCCUUGUGCAUUCGUCUGUGGAAACCUACACCCCUCCAGACACGUCGUCUGCCUCAGAAGAUGAGGGCUCUUUACGGCGACCCGGGCGACUCACCUCCACUCCGCUCCAGAGCCAUUCCAGCGUCGAGCCCUGGCUCGACCGGGUCAUUCAGGGCUCGUCCACCUCAUCCUCUGCAUCCUCCACCUCAUCUCACCCGGGAGGGAGACCCACCACUGCUCCCAGUGCUGCAGCCACGCCGGGGGCCGCCGCUACCACUGCACUCGCAGGCCUCGAGGCCCACACCCACAUAGCAGAUCUGCAUUCUGCCCCUCCUGAUGUCACCACGGGCCUCGUGGAGCAUUCGUACUUUGAGCGUCCACAGGUGGCUUCUGUGAGAAGUGUUCCUCGGGGGUGCAGCGGGAGCAUGCUGGAAACAGCAGAUGAUGUGUCCUGGCCUCAGUGCUCCUCUGUCCUUCCCGUGACAGGUGUCCCUGUGAACAGCAGAGUGUCCUCCAAAAUCCAGCAGCUUCUGAACACCCUGAAGAGGCCAAAGCGCCCUCCACUGAAGGAGUUCUUUGUGGAUGAUUUUGAGGAAUUGUUGGAAGUUCAGCAACCAGAUCCAAAUCAGCCGAAGCCUGAGGGAAGCGAGACGAGUGUGCUGAGAGGGGAGCCUCUCACUGCAGGUGUCCCCCGACCGCCGUCGCUGUUGGCCACCUUGCAGCGCUGGGGCACAACACAGCCCAAAUCCCCCUGUCUGACUGCCUUGGAUACAACUGGGAAAGCCAUCUACACUCUCACCUAUGGUAAACUUUGGAGUCGGAGUUUAAAACUAGCUUAUACUCUACUUAAUAAACUGACAAGUAAGAAUGAACCUCUACUUAAACCUGGAGACAGAGUGGCGCUCGUGUUUCCGAAUAGUGACCCUGUGAUGUUCAUGGUUGCAUUUUAUGGGUGUCUCCUGGCAGAGCUGGUUCCUGUCCCCAUAGAAGUGCCAUUAACAAGAAAGGAUGCAGGCAGCCAGCAGGUUGGGUUUCUGCUGGGCAGCUGUGGAGUCUUCUUGGCCCUAACCACAGACGCUUGUCAGAAAGGCCUCCCCAAGGCACAGACAGGAGAGGUGGCAGCUUUCAAAGGUUGGCCCCCGCUCUCCUGGCUAGUGAUUGAUGGGAAGCAUCUGGCCAAGCCCCCAAAGGACUGGCACCCUCUGGCCCAGGACACAGGGACUGGGACCGCCUACAUUGAGUAUAAAACCAGCAAAGAAGGCAGUACGGUGGGGGUCACAGUGUCCCACGCAUCCCUGCUGGCACAGUGCCGGGCUCUGACCCAGGCGUGCGGGUACUCAGAAGCUGAAACAUUAACAAAUGUGCUGGAUUUCAAAAGGGAUGCUGGUCUGUGGCAUGGAGUGUUAACAAGCGUCAUGAACAGGAUGCACGUGGUCAGCGUCCCCUACGCGCUGAUGAAGGCGAACCCGCUCUCCUGGAUCCAGAAAGUGUGCUUCUAUAAAGCUCGGGCCGCGCUGGUGAAGUCGCGAGACAUGCACUGGUCUCUCCUAGCUCAGCGGGGCCAGAGGGACGUCAGCCUCAGCUCACUGCGCAUGCUGAUUGUGGCCGAUGGCGCCAACCCGUGGUCGAUCUCCUCCUGUGACGCCUUCCUCAACGUCUUCCAGUCCAGAGGUCUGAGGCCAGAGGUCAUCUGUCCUUGUGCAAGUUCUCCUGAGGCGCUGACUGUCGCCAUCCGCAGGCCACCUGAUCUGGGAGGACCACCUCCAAGAAAAGCAGUCCUAUCGAUGAACGGUCUAAGUUAUGGUGUUAUCAGAGUGGAUACUGAAGAAAAGUUGUCAGUCCUUACUGUUCAGGACGUUGGUCAGGUGAUGCCUGGAGCUAAUGUAUGUGUUGUGAAGUUAGAAGGUACCCCUUAUCUUUGUAAAACUGAUGAAGUGGGAGAAAUAUGCGUCAGUUCCAGUGCAACUGGCACAGCGUACUAUGGAUUGCUUGGAAUCACGAAGAAUGUGUUUGAGGCUGUUCCGGUCACCACAGGAGGAGCACCCAUCUUUGACAGGCCAUUCACCAGGACGGGCCUGCUGGGCUUCAUCGGGCCUGACAACCUGGUCUUCAUCGUGGGCAAACUGGACGGGCUGAUGGUCACUGGAGUUCGCAGACACAAUGCAGAUGACGUUGUGGCCACCGCACUGGCCGUGGAGCCCAUGAAGUUUGUCUACAGAGGCAGGAUCGCUGUGUUCUCUGUGACCGUGCUGCACGACGACCGGAUUGUCCUGGUGGCUGAGCAGCGGCCGGAUGCCUCGGAGGAGGACAGCUUCCAGUGGAUGAGCCGUGUGCUGCAGGCCAUCGAUAGCAUCCACCAGGUGGGCGUGUACUGUCUGGCCCUGGUUCCUGCCAACACCUUGCCGAAGGCUCCUCUCGGAGGGAUUCACAUUUCUGAAACCAAACAGCGCUUUCUGGAAGGGACACUGCACCCGUGUAAUGUGCUGAUGUGCCCUCACACCUGUGUUACCAACCUCCCCAAACCUCGUCAGAAACAACCAGAGGUUGGACCAGCCUCAAUGAUCGUGGGGAACCUGGUUGCUGGGAAGAGAAUCGCUCAGGCUUCCGGGAGAGAGCUCGCCCACCUGGAGGACAGCGACCAGGCACGGAAGUUCCUGUUCCUGGCUGACGUGCUGCAGUGGCGUGCCCACACCACUCCUGACCACCCGCUGUUCUUGCUACUGAACGCCAAGGGCACCGUCACAAGCACUGCAACCUGUGUCCAGCUGCACAAAAGGGCUGAGAGAGUGGCCGCGGCUCUGAUGGAGAAGGGAAGACUGAGUGUUGGGGACCAUGUGGCUCUGGUCUACCCACCAGGGGUGGACCUCAUUGCCGCGUUCUAUGGCUGCUUGUACUGUGGCUGCGUGCCUGUCACCGUGCGGCCCCCGCACCCUCAGAACCUCGGCACCACACUGCCCACCGUCAAGAUGAUCGUGGAGGUCAGCAAGUCUGCAUGCGUCCUCACCACGCAGGCUGUCACACGGCUGCUCAGGUCCAAGGAGGCUGCUGCCGCCGUGGACAUCAGGACCUGGCCCACCAUCCUAGACACAGAUGACAUCCCGAAAAAGAAGGUAGCGAGCAUUUUCAGGCCCCCCUCCCCUGACGUCCUCGCAUACUUGGACUUCAGCGUGUCAACCACUGGGAUAUUAGCGGGAGUGAAGAUGUCACACGCGGCCACAAGCGCCUUAUGCCGCUCCAUAAAGCUGCAGUGUGAGCUGUACCCCUCGCGGCAGAUCGCCAUCUGCCUCGACCCCUACUGUGGCCUUGGUUUUGCCCUGUGGUGUCUGUGCAGUGUCUACUCGGGACACCAAUCAGUGCUGGUGCCCCCGCUGGAGCUGGAGAGCAACGUGUCCCUGUGGCUGUCGGCCGUCAGCCAGUACAAGGCCCGCGUCACCUUCUGCUCCUACUCUGUGAUGGAGAUGUGCACCAAGGGCCUGGGCGCACAGACGGGUGUCCUCAGGAUGAAGGGGGUGAACCUGUCAUGUGUGCGCACGUGCAUGGUGGUCGCCGAGGAGCGGCCCAGGAUUGCGCUGACCCAGUCCUUCUCCAAGCUCUUCAAGGACCUGGGCCUGCCGGCCCGCGCUGUAAGCACCACGUUCGGGUGCAGGGUCAACGUGGCCAUCUGCCUCCAGGGCACAGCUGGCCCGGACCCCACAACCGUCUACGUGGACAUGCGGGCACUGCGCCAUGACAGGGUUCGUUUGGUAGAACGGGGUUCUCCGCACAGCCUGCCAUUGAUGGAGUCUGGAAAGGUAGUGGAAACCAAGACGCGUGCAUUCUGAGUCGCGUCUGAGACCUUUGUCUGAAGCAUCACCCUGUGGAGGGUGCUGGGGGCUGCGGCUCUGAUGAACACAGGUCGACUUCUGGUUGGGGUGGGCUCGGCUGCUGCAGAAGUCUCCUUCCCUCCUUUGCGGCUGGUAUAUAGAAUUACUUAGUUAUGUUUUUAAACACACAUCUGAGCUCAAAGCCAAGAAAGGGAGAAGUUCGGGUGCAGGAAUAAAGAACUCCCGCUGGGUGGGUGGCAGGCCUCAGGCCUCUGGGGCCAGGGCCAUGGAGGGGGGGUUCCGGCCCACCCACACAUUUAGAGUUAAAUGGAGUGGCCCUGGCCCUAAGUUGGAGAUGGCAAAAUCUCAUGCCCUAGUUUAGGGUGUCAGCAGGGAAGAGGCCCCCAGAGCCUGUGGGGGAUCUGGGGGAUCCUGAGAUGGCCCGAGGACUCCCAGGAAAAAACUGAGAUGCUGCAAGAGGUCAGCAGACAUAGGCACAGAACAGCAUCCUCUGAACCAGGAAGGGUUCAAAGGAAGGAGGGAAAGCCACACAGCCCAGGAAGGCAGCUUGAAGAGUAAGCCAGGCUUGAUAUGAGUCGGGGACCCUGGUGCCUUCACAACCGCAGAGGCAAGAGAAGGAGCUUGAUAUGAGUGGGCAGCUACUGCGCAUCCAGCGAGGGCUGUGGGGGCCCUGGUGCCUUCACAACCCCAGAGGCAAGAGAAGGAGCUUGGCCACCCUGACUCCGUUCACUGCCAUGGCCACAGCCACCUGUGGAGAGUCAGAGAGGGGUCCAGAGAGGGACCCAGCCAAGCCAUGUGAUGUCCAGGACACAGACUCCUGCAGGGCAGCAGGGGUGAGACUGCGGACAGAAGGCACAGCUGCUCUGAGGGUCUCGAGUCACUUCAGGCGGUAGACCAGCCGAGAGUGGAGUCGGGUGAGCUUAGUGGACAGCACAUCUGUGGGAGCCGUGGGCUGCUGCACGUCCUCCCUUCUCUGAGCACAGGGACAUUGAGCCGCCAUCGCACACAGCUCUGCAUCAUCCUUGGUGUAAACUCAGCAGGUUUCCCUGGGUCAUGGGGCCUCCACGUCGCUCUUUUCCCUGCCCUGCCAUGUACAGCCGCACUGUAAUUGUUUAGCUCACCCCCUUUUGUUGGACGUUCUUUCCUAUUUUGCUGUUACAAUCACUUGGGCCUGAUAGGUUUGUGUCCUGGAAAGAGCUCUAGUUUUGGGGCUCAGCUGGGACAUGCAGGGAGAAGAUGGAGGCUCCAACACCAUCUGGGGAAACAGAACAGUCCCACUCUGCCGGGGAGGGUCUGGUGGUAACCAUAGCUCACACCUCCCUGUGGCCCCUCGUCCCCUCCUCUUGCCUGCCCUGAGCCUGCAGUGUCAUUGCCCCCAUUUCAUAUGUGAGGAAACUGAGGACACAGAACAAGCAUCCAGGCCUUGUGCAGUCAGGUGGUCUGACCUGAGCCCAGUGAGGGAACACUGGGACCGGGCCUGGGAAGCCAGGUAAGAGAUGGUGGCCUCUUGCCGUCCUGAAUUGGCACAGAGCCAGUGCUCAGUGGUUGGACUGACUCGGAGUCACGGGCAGGAAGAACUUCCUCAUGGUCAGGUUCCUGGCCAAGAACUAGGACAGACAUGUGCCUCCUGCAGGGCUGGGCACAGCAGGGUCACUGCACCCCUGGAUGGAUGCCCAUCAGUCAAAUUUGGAGCGGCCUCUAAACUUCCUGACCUGACAUAAGCACAUCAGUCCUGCUGGCCAACUUCUGAGGGACGUUAUUUUAAUGUCACUGAAUCAAGAGAGUCUCGUGUCAUGUUUUCUUUAACAAGGGACAUAGCUCUCCUCCUUCCAGAUCCUCCCCGGCGUGAAGGUCAUCAUCGCACACACCGAGACCAAAGGACCCUUGGGAGACUCACACCUGGGAGAGAUCUGGGUAAGCAGCCCCCACAAUGCCACCGGGUACUACACCGUUUACGGGGAGGAGGCGCUUCAUGCCGACCACUUCAGUGCCCGGCUGAGUUUUGGAGACACACAGACCAUCUGGGCAAGGACCGGCUACCUUGGCUUCCUUCGGCGAACAGAGCUCACUGAUGCCAGUGGAGGGCGGCACGAUGCACUGUAUGUGGUUGGGUCUCUGGAUGAAACUCUGGAGCUCAGAGGCAUGCGGUACCACCCCAUCGACAUUGAGACCUCUGUCAUCCGAGCACACAGGAGCAUCGCUGAGUGUGCCGUAUUCACCUGGACCAACCUGCUGGUGGUGGUGGUGGAGCUGGAUGGGCUAGAGCAGGAUGCCCUGGACCUGGUGGCCCUGGUGACCAACGUGGUGCUGGAGGAGCACUACCUGGUCGUGGGAGUGGUGGUCAUCGUGGACCCAGGGGUGAUCCCUAUCAACUCUCGGGGUGAGAAGCAGCGCAUGCACCUGCGGGACGGCUUCCUGGCUGACCAGCUGGACCCCAUCUAUGUGGCCUACAACAUGUGAGCGCAGCACACCGGCCCAGGUGCCGGAGAUGAAUGAGCCCCAGCAGUCCAAGGUGUGAUGUGGGAAGACACCGCAGAGCUCACUCACCGGGACUCGCCCUUCCUGUGCUCUUACAGAUCCCUCUCAACAAUCCCCACAUCUCCUUUUAGAAAGCACUUCCUGAAUUAUUUAAAGAAAUAUUUUGAAUCUGCCAAGUACAUUCACAAAAACACGGAUGCUGGUAUUUUAACAGAUGGAGAGACAAGGAAAGGAAAGGAAAGGCCUGGCAUGGGCAUUGUGAGGAAUCACAGGCACCGAGGUUGUUCUCUGCUGUACUGCAAGUUUGCACUUUCUUUAGGCUAAAAAUAUAGUUCCUGAUUUUUAAAAUUCAGUUAUUUAUUCCCACUUCAAAUGACAAGUUCAUAUAUAGGAUUUACGGGAGAAACUUGAGACCAUUUACGGGGAGAAACUUGAUUCUGGGAAGAUAGCAGAGUACAAACCAGCUGCCUCACUUCUGUUUCACAGGGAGGCUGAUGGAAAAAGGAAGCAAGCUGGACCCAUCCUCCCUGCUCACAGAGGGCACUGUGGUCACACACAGUGCCUCCUCUGCCAGUUCCUUUAUUGAAAGAGGUGUGCUGGCUGGCCACGGUGGCUCACACCUGUAAUCCCAGCACUUUGGGAGGCCGAGGCGAGCAGAUCACGAGGUCAGGAGAUCGAGACCAUCCUGGCUAACAUGGUGAAACCUUGUCUCUACUAAAAAUACAAAAAAUUAGCCGAGUGGUGGUGGGCGCUUGUAGUCCCAGCUACUUGGGAGGCUGAGGCAGGAGAAUGGUAUGAACCAGGGAGGCGGAGCUUGCAGUGAGCCGAGAUCACGCUACUGCACUCCAGCCUGGGUGACAGCGCGAGAUGCCGUCUUAAAAAAACAAAAAAGAGGUGUGCUGCUUGUCAGCAUAUAUUGUCACGGACACUCAAUAAGUGCCAUUUUGGACUGUCAAAUUUAGAUGCUUUGUUUCAGAAAGAUAAGCCAGCAUUUAGUUUUAAAUCACUUUCCUGGUUUGUAACUUGAUGCUGUUUAGUUAAAUUGCUAGUUUUCCUAACACUACAAUAUUAAUUCUUCUCGUGGAAGUGUACUGAUUUAUUAUUUUUAUUCCAAGUCAGCAGAUUUGGAAGCAUUGUGGUAAAGUCUAAGGUUUUCAUAUCCAUAGUGCUGUUUGGUGAGUACCGGCAGUACAGUUGAGGGGAGCAGGGAACAGCAUUGCCCCAUAUUGAAGGUGGAGAUGGUUACAUUCUUCACUGCUUUUCGCAUUUUGAGUUGUGUGCCUAUAAAAUUUGGCCAAACCAUUUUAUUAUUUUGUUCAAACUUGACUAAGCUGAGUGAUCUAAAAUUAUACAGAACCUAAAUCAAAGAAGAGAAUGUAAAGUCCUUUAGUUACUUCUAAGAAUUUGAAGUCAAGCACGAAUCUAAGACAUAGAUUAUUUUUAUAUAGCUAAUGAAGACUAUGUUAUGAAAUUGUUGGGUUUUUGGAGUAUUGAGGGUGGCAAAUUUUGUGAAUCAUGCAUGCUUCACAGAAACAACCAGGUUUUUCCAGAAUUAGUCUGGAUCAGUGCCUAACAAAGCUGUUAUUAAUUCUCCACACAUGAGCCUGGCUAACUGGGCCAGCUCUCAUGUUUUACUCCUGUCUGGCUACAAAUAGCACUGUGCAUAGUAGCCCUGUUUCCCCAUGGUGUUGGACUGUGGUAAAGUAUGUUGUGACAUACUGGAAUUCUAAUAAUCCUGUUGUAAUUAUGUACAGAAUCUAUGUAACUUAUUGUUGACAUACAGAGGUUUGGGAAGUAGUCUAAUGGACAUUCCUUACAAUAGAAUGGCUGGGAAGGGAAAGAAAAAAAAAAACUACCUAACUCCAAUCUUAAUGUUGUAGUUUUAUAGGAAACAAAAAUUGUCAACUUUUUGUAUUGAAAGGUCAGUGGUGGUAAGACAAGGUGUCUUGUAAAUUAAGAUUUUAAGAAGUGCAUUAAAAUGUUUUAGAAUUACUCUGGGAAUUCUGUAUAUCACACUAAAAUUUUUAUAUCAUUAUGUUAAUAAAAGUUAUUGACUUUGUAA